CGGUGGAGGUAUGUGGUUUAAUUCGAUGCAACGCGAAGAACCUUACCUGGUCUUGACAUCCCGGAGACCCUUAGGAAACUAGGGGGUGCUUCCAUCUGGAAGAAUCUGGAGACAGGUGCUGCAUGGCUGUCGUCAGCUCGUGUCGUGAGAUGUUGGGUUAAGUCCCGCAACGAGCGCAACCCUUGCCUUUAGUUGCCAGCAGUUCGGCUGGGCACUCUAAAGGGACUGCCGGUGUUAAACCGGAGGAAGGUGGGGAUGACGUCAAGUCCUCAUGGCCUUUAUGACCAGGGCUACACACGUACUACAAUGGCCGAUACAAAGGGCAGCGACACUGCGAGGUGAAGCCAAUCCCGUAAAAUCGGUCUCAGUCCGGAUUGGAGUCUGCAACUCGACUCCAUGAAGUUGGAAUCGCUAGUAAUCGUGGAUCAGCAUGCCACGGUGAAUACGUUCCCGGGCCUU
rnacentral:rRNA from 1 species